GGUUGGAUUAGCUCUGUUGGUUAGAGCAUGGUGCUGAUAACGCCAAGUUCAUGGGUUCGAGCCCCAUUUGGGUCA